rnacentral:lncRNA from 1 species
UAACACAAAAAAUAGGAGGGACACUCCUAAUCUGAAGAAAUAGGUUGGCGGCUGCUUCACAAAAAAAAACGCACACCUACACAAUACAAUACAUACAAUACACGCCGAUACACAACAGAAGAGAAGCGGCGCAGCUUUUGAAGACAACCCCCCUCUCUCUCGAUCAUCUUCUCUGUCUCACACAUAUCUACAAUCCCACCUUCACCAAGCUCACAGGACCGACGACGCAACACCAGAGAAAUGACCCCAACCCCCUUUCCUGUCUUAUUCAAACCCCCUGGUUCUGUAACGUUCAAUGGUCCCAAACGACCCGUGCUGUUUCCUCCAUUUUUUCCAUUCACGACCGCACAGGUAAACACGCACACACGUACAACUAACUGGGAAUACAUCAGAAACAGUGACAAUACAUGAGAGUUUUCCAGUCGUCGAGCCGCGUCGUCAUUAAAGUUCUGCUCGUCGUUCUCUGUUCGUUUCCAAACCUGUGCGCUUCUGCCUGAGCUAAUAUUUUGCUGGAUUAUGCUGCUUGUGUAAUUGCUGAACACUUCCGCUAAAUUGGAAGCUUGAUUUUAGGUUCAUAAUCUAUUGUUCCCAUAUUAUUUAAUUUUGUUAGAUUUCCGUUGCCUGUACUCUGUUUUACUUUCAUGCCUAAGGUCUGUGAUUUCUGAUUUGUUUUGCUUGGAGAUAUUUGGGUUGUGAUGUGAUGUGAUUUUUGUGAUGACUGAGUUAGUGUUCGAAUCCAUCGAGCCUCACAUGAAUAUACCGUAUGUUUGAUUGGUUUUCUUGGUUGAAUUUCAAUUGAGUCGAGUUUGAAGUUGUCCUAACUCACUUGUCGAUGUAGAUGUUAGUGGUAAAACGACUUACUGCUUGUAUUGAGGAAACAUUAGUUUUAGAAAAAAACCUUGCUUCUUCAAUGAAUGAUAGUGUAUUUUGUUUCAUCCGUGUAUUUGCUGUAAUCUUCGUUAAUUAAAGACCAUUGAAGGUUCAUUUCUUCUUUUCUCUUAAUGUAGUCUUUAAUUAUUUGUGAAUACAGGUAAAAUGGAAGUUGUUUGAAUUAGUUGUUCUGUUCGCUUUAUAUGUUAUCGCCUGAGCUAUUUGGAUUAGAACUUGUUUUUGAUCCAUGUAUUGUUGGUUCAAGGAGGACUCUUGUGAUUCCGGAUUGAAUCUGGAUCCUUUUAGGUUUGUGUUUUACCGUUUUUGAGCUCCUGAGUUUUUGUUGCUUAGCUAAAUGCGUUUACAUGAUUUAAUGGGAAGUUACUGAAAUCUUCAUGUAAUAGUGUGCACAAAUUCUCAUUGAUGAACACGCUGGAUUUCUGUUCUAUUUUGAGCUGAUUUGUCACCAGUUCUCAAACUUUCAUUGGCAUAUUCAAAUUUGAGUAGGAAGGAAAAGAAUCCUGUUGAUUUAGUUGUUGUAAAGCUAUUAGAAAGCCAACAUUCCCUGGAUCAGGAAGGAAAAGAAGCUUGUUGAUUUAGCUGUUGUAAAGCUAUUAGGAAGCCAGCAUUCCCUGGAUCAUAGGCAAGCUGAGAAAAGG